AUUGUUAGUUGAGCCAUCGUAACGGAGGCCAGCAGGUGUCGUCGUGCAGAUGUAGUUUGUAAACCUAACUCCCAACAGCUCAAAAGGAUUCUCUGGUCAAGGCCAGAGACCUGGGUUUUAGCCUUCUGGUUAGAGAGUCCGACUUCCAUGCCGAGGAUCAUGAGUUUGUGUCCCGAGGGGAGCGAAUGGGCGGAGUCAUAACAACACAACGCAGAGUGCAGCCGCUACAUAAGUAUGUGGUGUAUUAUUUUAAAAUGAUGAUAAAUUCAAGAUACAUUUACACUGGAAAUCUGACUCAAAGAGAAAGAUUUCACGUGAUCUCUCAAUACAUUUUUUUGAAGCCAUUUGUUAGAAGUCCCUGAUCUUGUGCUCCAA